rnacentral:lncRNA from 1 species
GCAGGAGCCCCAGGAGGGGGGAGGCUGCUACUUUCAACCAGUUUGGAUGCCAAGGAUGAGUUAGAGGAGGUAGGUGUGGCGGGUGGGGAAGGGAGUUAAGAAAUUGGGUUGAGGGAUACGGAGCGGAUAUGGGUGGGGGCGGGGGGAAAGGCCUUCAAGUUUUUUCCAAGGCAACACAAACACUGCUCUAGUUUCCUGCUCCUGAAGGAAGAAGUGUGGGCCAACUUCCUGGAUAGGUUGUCAUAGUAACAGCAGCCACAGUCUGAAAAUGGGUGAGGGGUGUUGGUGAUGGAAGGGAUACAGCAUCCAGAUUUACCGAAUUUAUUUAUUUUUAUUCCUUUCCACAUACACAUCACAGCUAUUUUUAAUGUCCACUCUGUUUCAGACCCAGAUCAUAUUGACUUGAGAAUAAUGUGUGUGUGUUUGUGUGUGUGUAGGUGUCUUGGGCUGAUAGGAGCUUGCAGCAGGCCUUGGACCCUCCUGUUAGAUGGUAUUAUUGACGUCGGCAGACACAGCCAGUUGCCAGUCAACUAGGCAUUUAGAAUGAGGACACGUGAAUAGUGUUAGUUCAGUAGCCUCAGCCACAGGAAUGGGGUGAACAAGUGAAUGUGACCUAGGGGACCAUGUUCCGUAGAAGAGAUAGAGAACACAGAGUUGCUGAGAAGAAUGUAGGGCAGGGGAGGUAGCUCACUCAGUAGUAGCACACUUGCCAAGCAUGCCCCAUGCCUUGAGUUUAAUUCCUAGUACCUCAUUUUUAAAAAGGAUGGAGUGAGGCAAUACCAUGGAACAGAAUGGGAAUUCUUAGGGAACUUGGUAGUUGUUCCUCCCUUCUCUUCCCCCAGUUGUUCUUCCCCUGCUGGUUUGGAGUCGAUCACAUAUCUCUUUCCUAUGCUAUACACAAAGUUAUUGACAUAGGAAUAUAAGACCCAGCCCAGAACUGAGGCAUGAUUCCUGAACUAUUUGUAAAGCCUAUUCAGUGCUUCAACUCAGUGGUUAUCUAGAGACAGGAUGAGGAAAUUAAUAGGCCCUGGCUCUUCACUGUUCAUUCUGCUGCUUCUGAUUUUGUUAUAGCCCUUUAUCAGUUAUUAGAGGGUAGAUAGGCAGAUAGGUGAAACUCAUAAGUUUAUUUGAAAAACUAUUAGUUCAGACACAAGACAGUGAGACAGUGUGAAUCAAGAGGUGGUUAAAUAGCAACUGCAGAUUACCUACCGGCAAAAGUCUACUUGUAGUUUGGCUUCCCCCCAGUAGUUCUCUGAACAUUUAGAUAAAGUUUGUUUUGUGGUUAUUUUUUUUUUUAAAUCAAAAUAAAUAUAAUUAGAAAUGUAAAUAAUACUGCAAAAAUAAUGUAUUUCCAAAAAUUAAAUUGAGUUACUUAAAAAAAAAAAAUCUUGCUUAGGAUUACCUGGAUAUUCAAAUUAUCCUUUUUUAACGAAAUGACCAUUUUGGGGACUAGAGAUGUAGUUCAAAUGGUUAAGUGCUUGCCUGGCAUGCGUGAGGCCGUUGUUCCAUCUCUGAGUACUACACCACCACGAGAGAAAGAAAUGGCCACUUUUAUGUCAGUAGUAAAACUACUGCCUUUGGUUCCUCUAUCAGUUGUAUGGAAGGGAAAAGACUAAUGGUGGAUGAUAAUCUGUUUAUUCCUCAUCCUGAUUCCUACAGGGGUCAUCGUGCCUGUGAUUUAAUUUAAACCACAGGGUAAGACAGCAUCCUGUUCAGUAAACAAAAUGAUAUGGCAGGAGGAGACCACAAAAGAAGGGAAGCAUUUAUUUUCUUGCUUUUUUAGACUGAGAAUGAACUUUUUACUGUUUCCAGGGAGAAGAGGAAGGGAGAGUCCUUUUUUUUUUUCCCCCUAAUCUCCAUGGUGCAGAUGUUUCUUAUUGUGCCUCAAGCUCCUCUACUCUCCUUCCUUCUUGGCCUUUUGUCCUUUGCAUUCAAACUUUCCAGCUAGCCUUACAACACUAUUUUCCCCCCGUUUGUGGUUCUGUCAACCCCACUAGACCAGAGUGAUUUUAAGGGCUCUGACUUCUUCAUCUGGGCCUCAGCACAGAUCUCUGCACACAGAAGUUAUCAAAACCUGGUUGUUGACCAACUGACCUGUGCUUGUUCUGGCUGGGUAAUUUUCCUUUACAGGUCUAUCUAUUCAGGUACGCAGAGGUAGCCCCCUGACCAUGUACACUUACUGUGUGUUGAGAAUUAUAGGGAAAUAAGAUGGGUGAGACCCAAAGUCUGCCUUCCACAGUUUAAUCAUCUGAAGACUUGAAUUAACACACCCAAAAGAAGGUUUAAAACAAAGAGGAUCUGAUUAGAAUAAUGAAGAGGAUGGGGUCAUUAUAGUUGGGUAUGAUUUGGAAAGGCUCUUUAGAGGCCUGGAGUAUGAAGCAUUAGUCAAGGUCAGGGGCUGAGACUCUUCUACCCCAGGGAAUGUUCCUUGUAUCCUUUCUUCUCUUUGACCUCAUUCCUCCCUUUGAAGACCAGUCUCCUUGCUCAUCCCCAGCCCAAUUUGGGGAGGGAAUGGGAUAAAAAUAGUGCCAGAGAUUGGAGGAGUUAGAACAUGUAGUUCCUACUUGCAUGAGCCUUUGCAGCUCCUGGUUAUUCCUUUGUCAAAGAGGGGCCAGCCACCUUGAAGUGAGACUGAAAGCAGGAGCUGUGGCCCAGACAAGUCAGAACUUCUUGAAGUUAUGGAUAGGUCUUAGCAUUGCAUUUGAUUAGAAGUAUGUCCCUGCCAUAUUUUCCCCAGGGAAUAAUUUAUAUCCUUUCCAUGGAAUCGCUAGGGAAUGGGCUUUGAGUCAUUUCCAGUUUUUUUCCAUAAAUCAUCAUUUCACAUACAAGGGACUCCUUGUUGAAUAUAGGUUGUCCUUAAGUAUCCAUAGGGGAUUGGUUCUAGGCCCAUCAGAGGAUGCCAGAAUCUGAGAUGCUCAAGGCCCUAUGUCAGUUCUGUGUACGGGGAAAGGAAGGGCUAGCUGUGCUUGGAACCUGCUGUUGAGUAACUCCUCAUUGAUGUGGGUUCUUGAGGAUUUUGCCCAUUGGAUCAUUUCUUCCUUUCCUGAAGACCAUAGAAUUUAGUGCUUCAAGGCCAAAAUGUCCCAUAAAGGAGCAGUAUAUACUAUUACACUCCCCCCCACCCCAACUAGGGAUUGAACUCAAGGUCCUACCUUGCUAGGCAAGCACUCCACCACUGAGCUAUACCCCCGCAGCUCGUUCUUUCUUUUAUUAUUAUUUUUAAUUUUUUUAGUUGUCAAUAGACCUUUAUUUUAUUUAUUUAUUUAUAUGUGGGGCAGAGAAUCAAACCCAGUACCUCACAUAUGCUAGGCAAGUGCUCUACCACUGAGCUACAACCUCAGCCUUUAUUUUUUAUUUUUUUGAGAUGGCCUUGGUAAUUUGACUAGGCUGCUUUGAACUUAGGUUCCUCCUGCCUCAGCAUCCUGAGUAGCUGAAAUUUUAUUGUACACUUUUUUACCACACUAUAUAUUUUCUUAGCUUAGGGUGGGAAAUGAAAGAUUAGAGGGAUCCUUUUAACUUGAGACUCCAAAGUCAGUUUUCAGCUUCAGGUAUAUAAUGGCAGAUAUCUGUUGCUGUUGUCAUGGUAGUUAUGGUCAGGCAGUCUUAGUACUAGAAAAAUUAGUUGAGGAGCUCCUAGAGAUGAUAAAUAUUUACUCACCUCUCUGAGAUGCUGUUGUAGAGUGCUUAUUCUGAACAGAGCCAUUCUGCCAGCAAUUGUUGGCAGCUACAUACAUGAUUUCAUCUUUACUAAGGGCCUCCAGAGACUGGGGGAAGAAAGAUAUGGUUACUGGAUUGUAGGAAUCUAGUUUCCUGUGGCCCUCUUUGAGGGGAUUUGAUGCUUUUUUUUUUUAAUAUUUAUUUUUUAGUUGUAGUUGGACACAAUACCUUUAUUUUAUUUAUUUUUAUGUGGUGCUGAGGAUCGAACCCAGGGCUUCACAUGUGCCAGGCAAGCACUCUACCACUGAGCCACAACCCCAGCCCAGGAUGUGGUGCUUUUGACAUCCUGAAUCGUUAAUUCUCCAUCCUGUAUGGAGAAGUAAUUUCUAUAGUUCAUGAGGAGUAGUGUCUUCUAUACUCCCAUUGCCUGCAAAGGACUUCCCAUCACAUUUCUCUCUCCAUUGUGUUUAUCUACUUUUCCAGAUUCUGGACUCUCCUACUUUCUACAUCCUUAGCUGGGCCUCCCUGUUUCCAGAGGCCACUUUGUCCUUAACUGGGCAGUGACCCAUAGAAAAUUGACUCAGGCCUCUGAGCAGAGCUUAGAAUAUCCAGGAGGGGCCUAGAGAAACUGUUCCACCCAAGGUCUCUGAGAGUUAAAUCAUAGCGAGAAACUCUACCGCUCAUAGGGCUAUGUAGCCAGCUUUGUAGGAUUUUGGUACAGGGCCCAUCAGGCAGGCCUCUUCUAGAAGUCAAAGGUUUACAGAGGUAAGUAGGAGAGGAAGCAUUUCAGCCUACUCAAGCAUUUAUCCAUGGCCUGUGGUAGGGGGUUAGUUUUCAGGGAUCUUCAAGGACAUGCAAUUAGAAAUAGUGGCAAAUGUUUUGAAGAGUCUGUUCUUCGUAGAUGUAGAUUUGUGCAACUGAUGAGCUUCCUUACAAAUUGGAUAGAUUCUAGCUCAAUGAAGGCUGUAUGCUAGAUGCUUUCAAAUUUUUAUCUUAUUUAAUCCUCAGAGCAACCUUGUGAUAUAGGAAUUAUCUCUAUAUGAUAAGAAAACCAGGGUUUAGAAAGAGUAAAUAACUCACCCAACAUGAACCUAAAGCUAACUAGCAAGUGCGGUUCCUUCUAUGCUGGGUUUCCUGUCAGUUUGCAUUAGUUAGCUGCUGUUUGAUUUUUUCCUCUCUCUGUUGAUUCAGCAGAGAUUUCUUCCUUUGAUAGGAAACAACAUCUAGAAUUUUAGGAUGCUAUGCUGCUGCUUGUUCACUGUGUCCCUCAACUCUGCUUGUUAACCUCCGUUGGAUACAGGGGUACCACCAAGAAUAGUCUAGACUUGGCAGCUAGAAUAACACUCUCUCCAGUCCCUGGUAAGAAUCUUGGGUAGAAAGGGAUGAAACUUUUUUUAAAAGGAAGCCCAGUGUGAUGUUUUUCCUUCCCUUCUCUUUUUAUGUAUGAGGUGUACAAGGUAAUGAUGUAUCUCAGAGUUUGUUGGAGAGGUGGUUUGUGACAGUCACAGCUCAGCUUUCAUGUGAUCUCACAGUUCCCUUUCACAAGUACGCAGGUGCUGUUUAUUAAGGUGGAACCUGCUGAUCUGACCUAAUUUGGGAGAUAGACCUGACAUUUCCAGUGAAGUUGUAAUACCUGCAAACCUGGCAGCUUUGGGUUAUUUUAGGUUGAAGUUUUGUAGCUACCAGAGCUGCUUACAUUAACACAUAAUUCUACCCUCUGCCACCUUAUGUUCUUACCCAGGAUAGACAUACACAACUUCAAGAUGGUGGUUAGAAGAGAAGCAUGAUUAUCUUUCAUGCCUAGACCUUUUCCCAUUGUCCUUAUAUUCAGUUAUUAACAAGAUGUUUUGUUCUGGCAUCUAUAGUCAAAGGGAAGUAAACCAGCCUGCCUUUGUCACAAUUUUGCCAGCAGCAUUAUCAUUGGGGAUCAUUUUUCCUUAAACAGUUUUUGGGUUAAUCCUCAUGAUAAAAGUUUUAAAGGACUAAGGUUUAGGUGUUGAUAGUGGAAAAGCUUUCUGGCAAAAUAUAUGAGAUAUAUUAUCAAUAUCUAAAUGUUUAGUAUCAAAUGCAUCUUUGAAACAAGGAACCAGUGACUAAGAUCUCUUUAGAAAAUGUUGAGCACAUGCCAUGUUUGGGUGGCCUUUGAAAGUAGAAUGGCCCUUGGAUAGUUUUUAAUAUAGCUGUCCCUACUUUUGUUUAACUAGAGACCUUGGCAAGUUUUAGUCUGGCCUUUUAUUCUGUCACUCCUUUUCUUUCCUCAUACUCUCAUUAUUUUUUAAGUUUGUUUUUAGCAUUUUGAGGGAUGUUAGGUAGAACAGUAUCUCCAUAUAGCUGUGUCUAUAUAUUUAGUGCAUGCUGCAUGCAUGUGUAGAAAUAUCAUACAUUCAAUUAAGACAUGUUAACAAAAAAGAAAGUAUUUUUAAUAUAUAUUUAUAUGUGUAUGUAUGUAUGUGUGUGUAUAUAUAUAUAUAUAUAUAUAUAUAUACACACACAUACAUACAUACACAUAUAAAUAUAUAUUAAAAAUACUUUCUUUUUUGUUAACAUGUCUUAAUUGAAUGUAUGAUAUUUCUACACAUGCAUGCAGCAUGCACUAAUCAAUCCAGCCUCUGUUUAUUCACCCUUUCCUACCACUGCCUUUCCCAACCUCUAAUAAUCAGUAUAUAGAUUCACAUUGACUUGUUUUUAGUUUCUACAUACAUGGGAAGUUACAUACAUGUCUUUCUAUAUCUAGCUUAUUUUACNUUUUAGCAAAUACUCAGUACUAAUAUCCUACCUAUGAAUGUUAACAGUACUCUCCUUUAAGCCAUCUCCUGGCUUUACCUCUGGCCUCUGUUGGGUUUUCUGGAAGUCUCAUGAUUAUCUCUCUUCUUGCUUUUUCUUUCUCUUUCUUGUCUCUGCUUCUUUCUCUUAUUUACCUUACCAUCCCCCCAAAAAAAUUUUAACAAUUUCUUACUAUAUAAUCAGUAUUUCAAGUCAGUAAUCCAAGAUCCAUACCUUGUAUUCUGUUUAAGUCUUCAAUUUUCUUUCUUUCUUUCUUUCUUGUGUGUGUGUGUGAGAGAGAGGGAGUGGUGGGGAGGUACUAGGGAUAGAACUCAGUCUUGUGCAUGCUAGGCAAGCACUCUACCACUGAAUUUUAUCUCCAGCCUGACUCUUUUUUUCUUUAAUAUUAUUAUUAAAUUUUUUUAUUUGUUUGUUUUGGCAAUGCUGGGGUUUGAACCUAGGGCCUUGUGCAUGCUAGGCAAGUGCUGUACCACAGAGCUACAUUUCCCAGCCUAGAUUCUUUAAUUUGUUUAAUAACUUUAUUUCAAAAUAAUUUCAAACUUAAAGAAAAAUUAUAAUACAUAGAAUGCUCAUAUGCUUUUCACUUAUAUUUGCUGAUUAUUAGUAUGUGGCACAUCUGCUAUAUUACUCUAUAUAUAUACAGAUAUUUUAUUCUUUUGAAAGUAGCAGCCAUUGAUGCUCCUUUAAAUUUAAAUACUUCCACAUAUAUUUCCCAAUAACAAAAGAUUUUUUAAAAGUACUUUCUUUUUGGUUAACCUGUCUUAAUUGUAUGUAUUUCUACACAUGCAUGCAGCAUGCACUAAUCAAUCCAGCCUCUGUUUAUUCACCCUUUCCUACCACUGCCUUUCCCAACCUCUAAUAAUCAGUAUAUAGAUUCACAUUGACUUGUUUUUAGUUUCUACAUACAUGGGAAGUUACAUACAUGUCUUUCUAUAUCUAGCUUAUUUUACUUAAGAUAACAUCGUAUGGUCCCAUCCAUUUUACUGUAAAUGAUGGGAUUUCAUUCUUUUUUGUGGCUGAAUGAUAUUUCAUUGUGUAUAUUAUCACUUUUUCUAAUCCAUUCAUAUAUUGAUGGGCAGCUAGGUUUGUUCCAUAGCUAUUAUAAAUAGUGCCAUAAUAAUCCAAGGUGUGCAGGUAUCUCUUUGGUAUCCUGAUUUUAUUAAAAACAGGAAUCUUCCCUCACAUAUCCACCAUUCCAUUGUCAAGACUGGAUAAUUUGCCAGGCACUGUGUGGCACACACCUAUAAUCCUAGCAGUUCAAGUGGCCAAGGUAGUUUGCAAGCUCAAGCCCAACCUCUGCAAUUGAACAAGACCCUGUCGCAAAAAGGGUUCAGAGCUCAGUAGUAAAGUGCCCGAGGAUUCAAUCUUCAGUACCCUGGGAGUGGGGCUGGAUAGUUUAACAUUGACAUGUUGCUAGUUCAAGUCAGUAAUUCAAGUAUUCACAUUUUAUCUGUCAUCCCAAUUAUAGCAGUCCAGGAUCACACCGUUGUAUUUAGGUGUCAUAUCUCUGUAUUACUCUAUUAUUCUUUAAUCUGUAACAGAUUCGUAAUCCAUUUUGUCUUUCCUUACCUUAGCUUUUUUAAUGUUAAGGCUUUUUUUUUUUCUUUAUUCUUUUUUGGCGGUGUUGGGGAUUGAACCCAAGGCCUUGUGCAUGUGAGGCAAGCAGUCUACCAACUGAGCUAUGUCCCCAGCCCCUUAAGGCAUAUUUUUGACAGGCCAGUUAUUUUGUGGAAUCUCUCAAUUUGGGUUGUCUCAGACUCCUGAGUAGCUGGGACCCCCACAUGCCACCACCUAUCUUCAGUGCAUCUUAUCAGAUGCAUAUAGUGUACUUUGGUUCCUUGGUUAAGGUGAUGCCCUCCAGGUCUUCUUACAUUUAUUAUUUUCCCUCUGAGAUUUAUAAGUUUGAGUGAAUCUUCUUUCUCUUGAAAGUUUUACCUACUGGUAAACAUCUAUUGAAAAUAUUUGCCUAAAUCAACUAUUAUUCUUGCUAUUCUUUCUAUAUUUGUUAGAUGGUGCUCUACUAUAAGGAAGGACUUCUCCUUUUCCUUUUAUUUUUUUUUUUAAAGGCAGUUAGAGCUAGAGACAUCAUCAGGUUUGAAUUUUUUAAGAACUUUUUUGGGGCCAUAAAGGUAUUGUGUCCAUGUAGAACAAUGGUGGAGCACCUAGGCACGGUGCUACAUGCCUAAAAUCCUAGCUGUUUGGGAGUCUGAGGCAAGAGGAUCAUGAGUUCAAAUCCAGCUUAGCAAUUUAGCGAGGCCCUAAGCAACUUAGCGAGACCCUGUUUCUAAAUAAAGUAUGUAAAAAUAGGGCUGGAGAUGUGGUUCAAUGGGUAAGUGCCCUGGGUUCAAUGCCUAGCACCAAAAAAAAAAAAAAAGUAACAAUACUUCGUAGGUGAUACUGACACACUGUUAUUUUGUUCUCACUCUCCCCAGAGAUUGGAAAGGUGUAUGAACAUUGUGACGUCAAUGACAACUGGUGUCUCUGAGAGAGAGGCCAAUGAUGCCCUUAAUGCUUAUGUAAGUACAGCACUCCUUGUAUCCAUUUCUGCUUCUGGAAAGUUCUUAGAUACAACCAGAAAUAUGGAAAGAUUAAGUGGGUAAGAUCUAGGGUUUUUUAACUCCUCUUUUAGGGUGGAAAGCUACCUACUAGAGUCUUGUAUGUUUUUAAAUAACAACCUUUUAAUAAAUUCAGUUCGGUAGUAGUUUUUUCUUUGCAAAUUAUCCUCACAUAUUUUAUCUUUUACGUUUCCAUUGAACUGUGUGGUCAAAAUAAAUGGUACAUGUGAAGGACUUAGAGUAAUCUCAGGUUCACAGUAAAUGUUCAGUAGGUAUUACCUGCUUAUUGUUGUAUUUUUAUUUUUUUGUUCUACAUGGACACAAUACCUUUAUUUUAUUUGUUUUAUUUAUUUAUUUAUUUGUUUGUUUGUUUAUUUUAUGUGGUUCUAGAGAUUGAACCCAAUGCCUCACACAUGCUAGGCAAGCAUUCUGUCACUGAGCCACAACCCCCACCCCUGUAUAUUAUUCUUAUUAUGUCUUUUUUUUUUUUUCAAUAUUUAUUUUUUAGUUUUCGGCGGACACAACAUCUUUGUUUGUAUGUGGUGCUGAGGAUCGAACCCGGGUUCCGCCCAUGCUAGGCAAGCGCUCUACCGCUGAGCCACAAUCUCUUAUUAUGUCUUCAUUUUAGAAAUCUCAGAGACUUAUUGAUUUGCCCAUAGUUAGGGUUGGUAGGUAGGCUUGUUGGUAGCAGCUGCCUUUUUUUUUUUUUUUUAGUUUUAGGUGGACACAGCAUUUUUAUGUGGUGCUGAGAAUUGAACUCAAGUGGUGAACACUCUGCCACUGAGCCACAACCUCAGUCUAGCAGCUGCCUUUCUACUGUGUGCUGCUAAGAUCUGACAGAGCGGGGGAGGAGGACUUUUUGGUUUUAUUUUUCCUAUCUUAAACACUCUCUUUUCUAUUUCUGGCUUACUUCAGGUGGCUCGAGAAAGCAAUAAAGGUUAUCCCUUCCCUCCACCUCUCUCCUAAAACAGAUGUCUCAUCCUUUUUUUUGAUACUGGGUGCUUUACCACUGAGUAUACUUCCCAGCCUCACCCCACCCACCCAACCACCCCUUUUUUUUGGAUACAGAGUCUCACUAAGUUGCUGAGGCUAGUCUCAAACUUUUUUUUUUUUUUUCAAAUAUUUAUUUUAGUUUUCGGCGGACACAACAUCUUUGUUUUGUAUGUGGUGCUGAGGAUUGAACCCGGGCCGCACGCAUGCCUGAGCCACAUCUCCACCCCGCUAGUCUCAAACUUGAGAUUCUCCCGCCUCCCCAGUUCCUUGGAAUACCGGUGUGGGCCACUGUCCACCUAGCUUCAUCCCUUUUAAGAGAAGAAAAUAAUCCGAUUCAAGAGUUGAUCAUUCUCCAUUGCAUGUUAGGAGGCUUUAGUUUUCUGGGUGAUACUGUGCUUGAAUUUGAGUACCACCAACUACUUUAUUCCCUUCCUCACUUUCCAGGUUUGCAAAGGUCCCCCCCAACAUGAGGAAAUCUGUCUGGGCCUCUUUACUCUUGUUCUCACAGAACCUGCCCAAGCCCAGAAGGUAAGAUACCUGCUGUGGACCCACAGACCCUCUCAGACAGGAUCUGGGAAUAUGGUGAAAUUUACCAUUUAACUGGGGACAUAUCAGACUCUUUGACUAGUGCUGAAUCAAUUUGUUCUCCAAAUGUAAUUUUAAUCCCUUUUUAUUCUCAGUGAAUUGAUUAUUCUCCAAGUUCUUUCUGUUCCCAGACCCUAAAGCUAAAAGGCAAGAAAAGGCAGUUGUGAGAGUGAAAAGCACUUACAGAUUGAAAUUUUAGGUGUAUGAGGUGAGGCUCAAAGGGCUGGGAUCUAAUCCUAGGAGAGAAGAAAACCACUGUAAUGAUAUCAGUGAAAGUUCUUAUUCAGAAGAGCAUCCCCAUUAGCAGGUGAAUAGAAAGCAGGCUUAAAUUUGCAGCAAGUAGCUGUAAUCCUAGCAACUUGGGAGGCUGAGUCAGGAGGAUUGCAAAUCCAAAGACAGACUUAGCAGUUUAGUGAGCCUUAAGCAAUUUAGAAAGACCCUGUCUCAAAAUAAAAAAAGGCUGGGCAUGGGGCUCAGUGGUUAAGCCCCGCUACAAUCAAUCCCCAGUAUCAAAAAAAAAAAUUGGUGGCAAGUAGAAUUUAGAGUAGAUAACUAAUCCUAGCUACUCAGGAGGCUGAGGUAGGAACAGCUUGGACAAUUUAGUGAAACUCUGCCUCAAAAUAAAAGAGAGUUGAGGCUAUACCUCAUGAUAUAGCUGGUGCCUAGCAUGCAGGAGACCCUGGGUUCAACUCCUGGUCCUUUUUUCAAUGAAAACAGAUUAUAGAGAGUGCUGGAGUCCAACUUACUGAGGAAUACAGUAAACCUAGUCUGUAGCUCUUUGUAAACAGAAAAGGAGUCUUUACGCAGAAUGAUAUAAUUGGGAUUCUUCCUUAAAGUGAAGGUCUAGGCGGUAUGAUCUCUGUGCAUUCUGUUCUUUUUAUAAUAACAUAGCAAAAUUAAGUCUUCUGCCUGCCUAGAUUUCCCCUUUCCAGUAAUUCCAUGUCCUUUGAGUCUCGGCAUGAUGAUGUAUGUGUCUGGCCCGGCGCGGUGGUGCAUGCCUGUAAACCCAGCAGCUUGAGAGGCUGAGGCAGGAGGAUUGCAAGUUCUCAACCAGCCUCAGUAACUUAUAGCAUCCCUAAGCAACUCAGCAAGAACCUGUCUAAAUAAAAUAUAAAAAUGGACUAAGGAUGUGUCUUAGUGGUUGUGACCCUGGGUUUAAUCCCUGGUAUCAAAAAAAUAAAAUGUGUCUGGAAUCUGGCUUAAAAUGUUUUAUAAGACUCUGGCUUUGGGCGAGUUUGACACCCCCAGAGUUGGGAGAACUCAGCCUCUCAUUGGCUCUUUCAUGAACAAGGUGGGUGUGGAAGGAAGCAGACAUGCUCUUUGUGUAGCAUUCUUCUAGACUUUGCCAGAGAAUAUCUCAUUUGAUGCUUCCAAAAAAUUGGAUGUGGUGGGGGCUUUUUUCUGUCCCCGCAACCUGCUCUCACUUUACCUGUGUGGUACUUGGUGAUUAGAGAUGUCAUCCUUGUUAGGGAUAACCAAAGGAAACUCACUCCCAGGGGUAAGGAUAGGAUGCUAUGGUCUUCUGGCAUAGCAGUUUGGAUUAACCUUGGGGGAAGGAUUUAUGGGUGUGGCAACCUGACUUGUUUGUACCUGAUGUUAGCUGUAAUAGGAAGAGUCUGAGGUUAGGCAGAUGGUGAUCCAGCAAGUAUUCAAAGUCCUUUUUUUGUUGGGGGUACCAGGGGUUGAACUCAAGGGCACUCGACCACUGAGCCCCAUCCCCAGCCUUAUUUUUAUUUUACUUAGAGACAGGGUCUCACUGAGUUGCUCAACACCUUGCUAUUGCCGAGGCUGGCUUUGAACUUAUGAUCCUCCUGCCUCAGCCUCCUUGGUUCCCAGGAGAGCCCAGGUGAUUUUGGACUAGGACUUUGUAAAGUUGAUAUUUCAUUUUUAUACUGAAUUCAUCAAGACCCUAGAAAAUGAAUGUUUCCCAUUUGGUAGUGUUAAACAGUAUAUUAUCCCCUUCAUUUUUGGCAGGGGCAGUGGGUAUGGGGGAUUGAACCCAGAGGUGCUUAACCACUGAGCAUAACUCCAGCCCUUUUUUUUGGUGGUGGUGGGGUACCGGGGACUGAACUCGGGGGCACUUGACUACUGAGCCACAUCCCCAGCCCUAUUUUGUAUUUUAUUUAGAGACAGGGUCUCACUGAGUUGCUUAGUGCCUUGCCAUUGCUGAGGCUGACUUUGAACUCAUGAUCCUCCUAUCUCAACCUCCCGAGCCAUUGGGAUUACAGGCAUGUGCCACCGCCCCUAGCAACUCCAGCCCUUUUUAAUAUUUUAUUUAGAGACAGGGUCUCGCUGAGUUGCUUAGGGUCUUGCUGAAUUGCUGAGGCUGGCUUUGAACUCGCAGUCCUCCUGCAUCAACCUCUGGAGGCACUGGGAUUACAGAUGUGUGCCACUGUGCCCAACAGAUCCCCUUCAUUUUAAAGAAAUUGUUGGCAAAGAUGAGAGUAGAAGGUUUAAUUUUCUCUUGUAUGGAUUUUUUUUUCCUUUUUCAAAAUUGUAAUUAUUAAUGAACAUUACACAAGUUAAUUAAUUUCAGUGUGUUACUUCCAUAUAUCAGGCUUUAAUAAUAUUUACCCUCUUUCUUGCCCUCCUCUCUCUUUCUUUCCCCAUUCUCCCAUUUCUACUGUUUCUCCUUACCCUUCCCUGACCCUGAUGGUUCCUCUUCUACUUUCAUCCAUUUUCCUGCAAAUGAUAGGAUUUUAUUCUUCUUUAUGGCUGAAUAAUACUCCAUUGUGUAUAUGUACCAUUUUUUUAAUUCAUUCAUCUGUUAAUGGGCACAUAGAUGAUUCUAUAUCUUAGCUAUUGUGAAUGGUGCCGUAAUAAACAUGGGUAUGCAUUUCCUCUUUUGAAUGCUGAUAUCAUUUUCUUGAGAUGUAUACCCAGGAGUGGUAUAGCUGGGUCAUAUGAUAGUUCUAAUUUUAAUUUGCCCCCUCUCCCACAAUAGUGGGAAUUGAACCCAGGAGUACUCUACCACUGAGCUAUAUCCCUAACCCUUUUUAUUUUAUUGUGAUAUAGGGUCUUGCUGAGUUGCCAGUCUGGACUCAAAACUUUUGAUCCUGCUGUCUCAGCCAUCAUACCCUGCUCUAUUCCAUCUUGUAUAAAUUUUUAUUUAUAAAAUAAAAUUUUAUUUUAUAAAUUUUAUUUAUAAAAUUUUAUUCAUAAAAUCUCAUUAAAGGACUAAGGAUGCAGCCCAAUGGUAGAUCACUUGCCUAGCAUGUGCAAAGCCCUGGGUUAGAUCCCUAGCACUUAAAACAAAAGAGCAGGGCUGGGGAUGUGGCUCAAGCGGUAGCGCGCUUGCCUGGCAUGCCUGCGGCCCGGGUGCAAUCCUCAGCACCACAUACAAACAAAGAUGUUGUGUCUGCCGAAAACUAAAAAAAUAAAUAUUAAAAAUUCUCUCUCUCUCUCUCUCUCUCUCUUAAAAAAAAAAAAAAAAAAAGAGCAGCAACAAAAUCAAAACCUUUUUUAGUCAUCUUAGUACAAUUUACUCUUGCCUGCUGGAAAAGAUUGUUUGUUUCAGGUGAGUUCUAAAUCAGACAGAGUAAAUCAAUAAACCUCAGUGAAGAGAGGAAGACAUAUCUGGUAUUUCUGGUUCUUAACCUGGCAUGGCAGUGAACAAGGCCACUGGGCUCUAUGUUGUAAGUGCUUGUUAUAUAGUUAGGCUGUCCAAACCCAGCAAGGGCUAGAGCACUCCUCUUUUGUAUUAGGACAGCCCCUGAGGGAGGCCCUGUGCUCCCUGGGGAGGUCAGACAUCUCACCUUGGGUCUCAUAACUGAUUGACAGGUACACCAGGAUUCAUGUUCACAUGCUAAAUACUUCCAAGUAAAUCCUUUACCAGUGAGACUCAAUCUGAGUCCCCAGAUCAGGCCUCUUCAGAAAAUGGUAGAGAUAGAAUCAGGAGGACACAAUUUUAGGUGAGUGAGGAGGUAUCAGGUAGUGACUCAUUCAGAGACUUUGAGCCAAGUCAGAGAGUGGUGGGAGAACUGAUGAUAUAUCUCCCUUGAGCUUUGAUCCUUCUUCCUAAAAAGGUAAUUGUCUUGUGAAAUAGUUCUGUCCUGCAAACAUUUUAGGCGGGAGUUACUGAUAAGGACUGAUCUUAAGACAUUGUUUCAGGCUUCAGCAAGAGAACUGUUUCUGAAUGUUUAUUUGAGGUUAAUUUUACCUUUGGAACAGAAAUCCCAGGAUGGAUUUGAGAUUUAGUUUUUCCUGAAUCUCCAUAGGCCAAGAGUUAAGAGGCAGGGAAGAAAAGAUGGUGGAAACUGAGUUUUGAACUCAUUAGAAAACCUGUCCUAGGCUUGGCUUCCAGCAGUUUGGGGAGGCUGAGGUGGGAGGAUCUCAAGUUCAAAGCCAGUCUCAGUAAAAAAUGAGGCCCAAAGCAACUCACUCUGUCUCUAAAUAAAAUACGAAAUGGGGCUUGGAAUGUGGCUCAGUGGUUAAGCACCCGUGCAUUUUCAACCCCCUGGACCAAAAAGAAAAGCAACCUGCCCUAGGAAAGCAUGAGCUGGGAAGCCUCUGUCAGUUGGUGGCAAGUUCAUAGAGUCAGGAUCAGCUCCUUCUGGGACUUCUUAGUGGGUAGAGAGGAUAACACAGUUAAGGAAUGAGUGGUAAUUUUUGUGUAGAAAGUAGAAUAUUCAUGGGGUGGGUUCUGUUCCAAUAGUACCUUCUUGAUUUGACCUGCCCUCUUGUCAGUUCUUGGGAAUGUUUGUAUUCUUUGACUUUGCUUAUUUCGUAUUUGUUAACUGAACUAAACAGCUGUGAGCACGCCUGGCUGGGAAGUUGGUAAGGAGGGAAGCUAACGCUGUGUAGGCUCUAUAAGUCAGUAGAUGAAGGUGAUUGGAAAGGGUGUAACAUCAGUGCCAAGGUCUCACUCCCUCAGAGAGUCAAGGCAUUUCUUGGUCUAGGUACUUCUCUCAGCAGGCAGCUCCAGAAAGAAGGUUGGGGACUGAGGCUAAAACAUCAGUGCUCUCAAGAGGGUCAGGCUAGAUGUGCUACCUCAGCACCAUCCUGUCCCCCCUCCUUUCUUUGAGACCCUCUGCUUUUCUUCUGUGUUCAUUGCUGAGUUUUGUCUUUUUCUCCCAUAUGCUUCUCUUCUAAGGCAGUCAGCAAACUGGCGCAGAGGUUGGUAAGACAGCUGGCAGCAUCAGGAAUAUGAGCCUCUUGGUACCCAGCUGCCAUGUGUUACCAGCAGUUGUGGUUGUUAAAGGUCCCAGUUGGAGCAUGAAAUUAGGCAGGCAUUAUCUGCCCUCUUCAUCUGACCCUGUAUCUCCUGAGAGAAUUGUCUUCUUUCCCUGUCCUGGGUCUUUUCUGCAUUUCUGGGGUUUUGACUUUGAUUUGAACAGACAAGCCUCCUUUAUACUUAAUGUCUUUGUCCUUGGCCCAACACAGGUUUUCCUUCUGCCUUCGCCUCCCUGAUCCUUCUCUUUGCCCAUUCUGUGACUUACCUCUGACUGAUCUGCCCAAUUUGCUGGCCAGCAUGUUGGCAGUAAUUCAUUACCCUGCCACCCACUCACCCCUCUACCACCUUCCUGCUUUUCUGAUUCCCCAACAGGGUCUUUCUUUUCUAGUUAUUUCUCACUUUAGUAUAAGAGGUGGUUAAGCAUGGAAUGUGGAAUUAGACUGCCAGGGUUUGAAUCUUGAUUAUUCUUCUAAUCUCUUAUGUAACCUGGAGCUAUGUGCUUUAACUUUUCUGCCUAUCUAAUCAUACGUAAUACCUAAUUCAAAGGGUUGUUAUGUGUGUCAAGUGUAAUAAUGUAUAUAAUACAAGACAAAUGAAUAUUAGCUAUUGUUAUUAUUCUUGAUGCCAUCCUUGAUACCUGCCUGCUUUAUACCUUUUGGAUGAAACCUUAACAGGACAGAACUGAGCAGGCUAAGGGGGCUUCUAACGAGAUCCCUGAAGGUAUUCCCCCAGGAGUUUGGGCUCACUGGAAAGACUAGUGAGAAAAGCUCAAAGAGGAAAGGAAACAACGACUCUCACAGAAAAAACUGUCCUACCAUCCCUGCCCCUGGGGUGGGGAUAUUGAAGGACCAUUCUUCUUUCAAUACUUGACAAAAGCAAAGGGUAUCCAGAAAGAAGAAGAUAGACAUUUAGUAAGAAAAUUCAGUUUGGGUUUUGUUGUUUCUCUGGAGCCCUGAUCCCUUAGUGCUUUCUUUGUGGCAUCUGUCUGGGUCAUAUCGGGUCUAAAAACCUCUGGUUGCUUUAUGGCUCAUUCAACUAAACCCAUUCUGCAAUGACCUUUUACUGGCAGAUGAAAAGCAGAUGGCCUCCACCUGGUUUAGCUCAGCUUGUGGCAUCAAACAGUAGGAUACUUCCUGAGAAGGGAGGAAGGGGGAAAGGGAUAGGACUAGGAGCUUUGUCCAGCAGGCUUUCCAGUCUUAUUAGAAAAUUGCUCGGUGCUUUCCCCCCACCCUGUGUGACAGACCAAGGGGUAGAUAUGGGAUAAAGGAGCCCUGUGGAAGGAAAAUAUCCAGAAUGGAAAGUGUUUCAUCGCUACUUGGUGUCUCACUGGUGUUAAGUUUAAGAGACUAGAGGGCAAGAGGUGCACUGUGAGUGGGCUUAGGAACCUUUUCCUCAACUUACUAAUUGCUCACAAACUUUGCUUUUUGCAGUGUUACCGAGACUUGGCUCUGGUGAGUCGUGAUGGCAUGAAUAUUGUCCUGAAUAAAAUCAACCAAAUACUUAUGGAGAAGUACCUAAAGUUGCAGGAUACGUGCCGAACUCAGGUAAGAAUAGGAAGAAAAGAAGGAUCCAGGGAUUGGGAGCGUUAUCUCAGUGGUAAAGUGUGUGCCUAGUAUGCACAAGGCCCUGGGUUCUGUCCCUAACAUCAAAAAAAAAAAAAAAAAAAGAAAAGAAAAGAAUAAGAAGGGAUCCAGCUCAAAGACAUUAACCGUGGGGGGGGGGAUCCCUUACAGAGAAGGGAAGGAGGAAUUGAGGCAACAUACCCCUAUCAUUGUGUACCUAAUUUGUAAUAUGGUUAAGUUAGCUCCUUUCUCAAACUCACAGUUCAUGCUCUUCAUAUUUUCUCCUCUCUCUAGUUGGUGUGGUUGGUACGGGAACUAGUGAAGAGUGGGGUUCUGGGAGCUGAUGGUGUUUGCAUGACAUUUAUGAAGCAGAUUGCAGGUGAGUUGAAAGUCAAGAGCAUAAAGAAGAAAGAGAGCGCUGGGGUUGUGGCUCAGUGGUGGAGCGCUUGCCUCCCACUGUGAGGCAUGGGGAUCAAUCCUCUACACCACAUAAAAAUAAAUACAUAAAUAAAGGUAUUGCAUCCAUCUACAACUAAAAAUAUUUAAGAAGAAAGGAGAGGAGCCCAGAGACUAAGGCUAGGCAAUAAAGACUGAUUAAGCACCCAUGGAACCUGAUUCCUGGGUUACUUAGGCUCUUUCUUUCUGAUACAGACAUCUGGCUUCAUGUGUUUCAGGAAGAAAUUGGUUGAAAAAUCACAGGAGCCCUUUUGAAGCAAUAAGUUUUGCUUUGUUUUCUUUCCUGUCAAAUCUAAAGCCUAGCAGAAUAUUUGACCUAUUUUAGCCAGGCUUCAUUCUGGGUUUUUGUGGCAUAUUGAAUCAGGAAGGAAUGAGGAGAAAAUUAAGGGGAAAUAAUUCAUCCCUGUAUUAUUAUGCUUUCAGAAAUCUAGACAUCUUCCCUGGCUCCACCCCUGUGUUCUGAACAAUUGCUCCCUAAUAAUUAUGACAACUGAUUGGGACCAGUCUGAGGGACAAAGGAUGUUACAGAACAGACCCUGACAUUUAGGUUUUAUUAUCAUCUUGGCAUUGGUGACAUCUGUCUGAGCCAAUGAAUAUGGAAGAGGCCUGCCUGAGCUUCCUCUUUUACUCUCAAGAUUGUGUGUGUGUUUAAAAAACUACCCUCCUGUUUUACCUCAUUAUUUGCCCAUUGCUGCUUGGCUUUCUCUUUAGGAUUUUAUAUAACACUGAUGCCCCUGUUUGGUGUGUUUGAACCAUUGUCUGUGUGAUAUGUGACUAUGUGAACAUCGAAAUGUUUAAUUGGGACUUAGUGCAAGGUAUAGCAGUGUUGUGCUGGUUAUUUUUAUCCUUUCUCCAGCACUUUCUUCCCUAUUUGGGCCUCCUAGCUCCCACUUCUUAUCCCAAGACUUUGGUCUGGCAUUGCUGCAUAUUAAUUCUGCCCCAGGAAGUUCCAUAGCAAGAACUGAAGACUGAUACCUGGAAACAAGAAACCCUUGGCUUGUUGUGAGCUUGAGCACAGGGAACAUCCAGAUGCUGGAUUGCAGCUGUUGCCAGCCGCCCGCACCUCUCAGGCCCUUUUUGAGACAUCAUCCUUUCUUUCCAACCAUGGGAUUCCUUUUCAAGGGCCAGCGUGUUCCCACUCAAGUUUCCAGUCUGGAAAAGCAACAGCUCUGGUUUCUAGAAAAAUUCAGAACAGGGGCUGGGGUUGUGGCUCAGUGGUAGAGCGCUUGCCUAGCAUGCAUGAGGCACUGGGUUCGAUCCUCAGCACCACAUAAAAAUAAAAUAAUGUGUCCACCUAAAACUAAAAAAAUACAUAAAUAAAUAAAUAUUAAAAAGAAAAGAAAAGAAAAAUUCAGAACAUUCCCUUCUCUUCUUCUCUCUGGAGGCAAAGGGAAUUUUUUAAAAAUCGGAUGGAAAAGAAGACAAUUUAUCCUAACACUCAGGAUAACAGUGAUGGGAUAACAGGGUAGACCAGCAAGAUGAGUGAAGAGAUGGAUUAGCUAAGUUGCUAAUUAGAGCUACUGUAUUCUGAUUCUUCCCCCCCUACUUUUUUUUUUCCAUCAGGUGGAGAUGUUACAGCCAAAAAUAUCUGGUUGGCAGAAAGUGUUCUGGAUAUCCUCACGGAGCAGAGGUAGAGUCCAUCAUGAAGGGUGGGGCAAGAACCAGAUAUGACCAGAAAGCAUAUGAGUGUGGGAAGUGGAGAAGAGAGGACUGUGUGACCCUAAAACACCUUAGGUUAGAGAGGAGGAAGCCAGCAUCAAGUGGGGGAGGCGACCAUAUUGAUGGCAAGUAAAGAAAUUAAUGCUGUAGUGUGGCCCAAGGGAUAAAGGAGUGGGAAAGAAGGGCCUGUUUUCUGAGCCCAGGAAAAACCAGUUUCAUCUGAUAAGGGUUUAUUUUUGAUCCAGACCUCCUUGGAAUGUUUAUCUUUGGAGGGGAGGUAGGGGAAGAAUGAGCUCAACAGAGCGGGACCAGCCAGCCACCCAGGCUUGGCAGGUACCUCUUCUCCCUUCCAAACUUCUCAAACACACUGUUUUUGAAGUGGUUCGGAUGGCAGCAGGGGUAGGGAGGUAAUAGAGAUCCUGAUCCCCCAUAGAGGGCUUGGAGCCUCCAGUGGUAGAGAGAGGCAUAUAGGGCUUUCUGGCUGAUUCUUUCCCUUCCUCAUCAAACUGAAGGACCAGAAAUUUUAUGAGGACUAUUCCAUUUCUGAAUUUGUUUGGGAAUGAGGUCUUCCUCCUUGGUCCUGUGGCCCCAGUCUUCAUUUUGCUUAUUUUUUGAGUCUCUCUGGAUAAGAACACCAUAGUAGUAAGAUUCUUGAGAGUGCUGAUAGUGUUCAUAUUGUCCACAUUUUCAAAGAAUGGACCUCCUCCCAUGAUUCACACUUGUGCUGCCUACUGCCAAGCCUGAGAGCCACGCAGGCCAGCUGUGCAGUGCCACCUAGUGCCCUGGCACAGAUGUGCAGCUGCACUGAAUCUGGCAACAUGACACCAGCAUGGGCAAGAUCUUAACAGUUUCUUGCCAGGUUUCUGCUUCUCUUAGGUAUCAUAUUUCUUUUUUUGGGGGGGGCGGGGGGGCGGGGAUUACCAGGAAUUGAACUCUGGGGCAUGCUACCACUGAGCCACAUCUCCAGCCCUAUUUUGUAUUUUAUUUAGAGACAGGGUCUCACUGAGUUGCUUAGCGCCUUGUCAUUGCUGAGGCUGACUUUGAACUCACGAUCCUCCUAUCUCAGCUUCUGGUGCUGCUGGGAUUACAGGUGUGUGCCACUGCACCCAGCAAAUAUCAGUAUUUAUUUAAUGUCCUGGAUUAGAAGGCCUCACUUGCAUCCCUCUUUCUCUUUCUUAUGCCAUUCUACAAUUCAGAUAUGUUUGUCAUUCCUGUUAAUAAUGUUCUUGAAAAGCUAUUUUUCUCAUUUUAUUCCUGGUUCCAGAUGUAUCCUGUCCCCUUGCCUUAAAGCUGAAUUUCCCAUAUAGGUGUCAAAUAACAGCUUGGUAACUUUCCCUACUCUCCAGAAACUCACAUUUUUUGGUAAAAGAUAGUACUUCAAAGUUUAAACUGUCUUCCUCCAUACCUUCCUUCUCACACCCUUCCAAAUGUUUUCAGGCUGUAGGGGUAAAAGGUAACUGGGAGCAGGGCUCAUGUCCUUGGCUAGUGUUUUCUUUCUUUCUUUCUUUUUUUUUUUUUCUUGAAAGGAAAAUGCCAGAUUCUUUUAAUUAGGUGACUUGAGCACAUUUCCAGAAUCAGGAUGUUGCCUGGUUGGAUUAAUUAAACUCACUGUCGUCUUCCUCCAGUUGGCCUUCCAGCAGGGAUGCCAAAGCCAUUACAAACUCUUUGCUUGGCGGAUACUACUCCACAGAAGUAGCACAAGAAACAGCAUUGGGGAUUUUAGGAAUCUUCCCACUGUGUUUUUCUCUCUACCCCUUUUAAAGUAGCAGGGAACAAGUAAUUCUUUCAUUACUCUGUUUUCCCCAGGGAAAUUCUAAAACUCCUGGGAAAAUGAGCUUUGCCAUCCAGAAUCAGGUUCUUUUUUCAGAUUAUGAUUUAGAGCAGGUGACUCAUUGUCUGAGGGUGGGGUCAGCAGCUAGCGAGUCAGGGAAAGGUUUGUGGUGUGGUAAACUGUUAGUGACAAGUGUGACAGAAGGGCUAGCAUGGUGUGUUCUGAGAACUCCUGGUCCUGAAAAGGGUCUUGGAAAUCCCCAGAGAUCCUGGCACCACACUUAAGAACUAUUGACUUAACAGAACUUUCCCCACAGAUGAACUGGGAGAAACGGUUCAUCUCUGACCCUAGUACCUCACACAUUGCUUGGCACAUGAUAGGCACUCAGUAAAUGUUUGAAUAGGUGAGUCAAUGUACAAAGUUAUUUUAUUGGAAGCUACAUAAGUGGUUACAUGGUAAGAAAAGAUUUUUUUCCUUUUGGCAUCUAUUUUUAUUGGUUGCCAAAUAGAGAAAAUUAGGAAGUUGUCCUUCUCUUAGCUAGUUGAUAGUUUUGAGAUAACAGCCUAAGCAAGCAAGCAGAAAAACAAAGAACCUCCUCCCAGUGUGUGAGCAUCAAACAUUAUUGAGUUGCUGGAGCCGAGUUUAAGCGGGUGAUUGGGAGUGUGCGUAGGUCUACGACAGAGUACAGGUGCAGUGUCUUUCCCUCCUGCAGGGAGUGGGUACUGAAGAGCAGCAUCCUCAUUGCCAUGGCUGUUUACACAUAUCUCCGUCUCAUCGUUGACCACCAUGGGACUGCCCAGCUCCAGGCCCUGCGGCAGAAGGAGGUGGACUUCUGCAUCUCGCUGCUUCGGGAACGGGUGAGGAAGUAGGAUAAGAUCAGUAUGGGGAAAUGAGACCCAGGAUGGGAUGCCCCUAUAGGUUUCAUGCACCAGGACUGGAGAUGCCUUUUCAGAUGUGGAAGUGGUUUAAAAUCUAGCAUUUUUCAUUGUCCUUAGAUAAGAGUAGAAUCUAAGGAGGGAGAAUCAGUGUGGAAUAACCCUUGUUCCUAGAAAUGCUAGCAUCCUGGGGAUUUUCCUGGUCACUGUCAAGGACACUGUUGUACAACAGACCCAAGCUGUUCUUUUGUAUACCCACUUAAGCUGUUCUGUCAUCCUACCACCUACCCAAGUAAUUGCCAUGGUCAUGUGGGAUUAUGAAUUGUCUGCUAUCAGAUCUCCCAAGAGAGAGAUCCUAGAAUUAAGUUAAUAUAAUGGCUGUUGACUACAUUUGGUAAUUUAUUAAUUAAUGUCAGAUUUUAAAGUUCCUUAAUUACCUUAGCCACAUGUUGCUAAUGGUAUUGUUUGGAAUGCAUAAAUGUAGAUCAUUUCCAUUACCACAAGAGGUUCUGUUGUACAAGAAUUUUGGGGUAGGGUGUCUGGGGCUCCACUUGCCUGUCCAAUAGUUUUGGAAUCUUAGUCUCUUUGAACUAAAUCAGAACAGUUCUGGGUGGAGAAGGGAAUAGAUUAGUGUGAAAGUCAGCAGGGCUUCAGCACUUCCCAGUAACUUUUCUUCCUUGGUAUCAGUCCCUAGCUUCCAGCUCUCUUCCAUAAACAGCUAGGAACCAAUCCCUUGGUUCUAGAAGAAAUCACAUAGUCCCUUCAACCUUCUUUCCUUCCCUCCCUGGAACAUGCUGUUCUUUUGUCCUCUCUCCAGAAGGUAAACAGUCUGUGUUUUUAUUCUCUUUCCUGUCCCCACUUCCUUCACCUCCUCACAUCAAGUUCAUGGAAUGUUUGAUGAUUGGCCGGGACCUUGUAAGACUACUUCAGAAUGUUGCUAGGAUACCAGAAUUUGAACUGCUUUGGAAAGAUAUUAUCCAUAACCCUCAGGCCUUGAGUCCUCAAUUUACAGGUAAGUAAGCCCUUGGGCAUCUUGUCCUUGAGAGAUGGCAAGUUAGCCUAUAUGUCCUAUAUUCAGAGGGCAGAGGUUGGUGGGUAGGACUGCCUUUGGCAAUCAGAGAAGGUUUGGGGCAGGGCAAGCUUUGCCAAGUACAGCUAGAUAUUGGAACCGCAGAAGUACUGAACAAUUCAUGUGAUUCCUAGACAGUCCCUGCUUGGCAGACUCCAGCUAUCAUUACUCCUAAGAAAAUAGUGAGAACUAUGAUCUUCUUCCUCUCCUGGAAGCUCCUUGGCUCAGGAGGUGAGCUGAUGACCAGUCUUUGACUUCAAUGAGUCUGGCAGGGAGUCAGAGGUCAACUCCAUGAGACUGAGUCAGCAGAGGAGCUAGAAUUAGUCCUGUAAGAGAUGGCCCCUCCCUGGAAGCAGUCUGGCCUCUUAAUUCCAAGGAUCCAACUUGGCCUAAAUCAUCUUUAGGGGAGAGAGUCUCUGUGUUCUUUCCCCUGACAUGGUCCUUUCAAUGUCCCUUUCCCUUUCCCAGAGCAAUAACUCUACAGCUUUGCUCCCUGGCCCACCUUUAAAGCACAUUCAUACAUAUGCACGCACACCUACAGAGCACUCUUCUAGAAUCUGAGAAGUGGGGAAAGUGCUGGUGCUACCUGAUAAUGCACUAUUCUUACAUCAAACAUGUCAGGUUACUUUGAGUGUCACCUCUAUGUUAGGCAUAUGUAUGUAAUUUAAACCUUAGAACAGCUCUAGAUUAUGGGUAUUUUAUUUCCCUUACAGUUGAAGAAACUGAGGUUCAAAAAAAGAAACGGAGCUGGACAUGGUAGCACACACCUAUAAUCCCAAUGACUCAGAAGGCUGAAGUAGGAGUAUUGAAAGUUCGAGGCCAGCCUGGGCAACCUAGCAAGACCCUGUCUCAAAAAUAAAAGGGCUUGGGCUGGGGAUAUAGCUCAGUUGGUACAGUGCUUAUCUCAGUUGGCCAGUGCAUGCACAAGGCCCUGGGUUCAAUCUCUAACACCACAAAAAAUAAAAAUGAUAGAUAGAUAGAUAGAUAGAUAGAUAGAUAGGCUGGGGAUGUGACUCAGUGGUAGAGCACCCUUAGGUUCUCUACCCCAGUAUCACCCCCUAAAAAAAAGAGAGAAAAUAAAAGAAACUGAGGUUCAAACAGGUUAAUUUGCUCAAGUGUAAGUGACAGGCAGGAUUUGGAUCAGGUUAUCCUGACUCCAGAGCUUAUGGUUAUGCUGCCACAUCACAUCCAUGCAAGGAUCAGGAGCAGGAAGACAAGCUAGAGUUUCCAUAUUUUUCUCUUAAUUUUCCCACCUGUUGCCAACUGCAAUAAUGGGGGUAGGGGACUCUGUAAAACCAGCAGAGGAAGGGAAUUAAUGUAACAGGAAUGUAGUUGGUUGGACAAAACGCACAGAUGCUAGUUAGAAUCCCCAUCUGUGUUGAUGCUUGGAAUUGCCUCAUGAACAAGACCACUGGCCAUCAGUACCUGGCCCAGUUUUCCCAUCUGUCUGCCAUUCCGUAGUUCUCAGGUUUCUCUCUUUUUUCUUCCCUAAAACACUUGGCUCAGGUAUCCUACAGCUUCUUCAGUCAAGAACAUCCCGAAAAUUCCUAGCAUGUCGUCUAACCCCAGAUAUGGAAACUAAGCUCCUCUUCAUGACAUCCCGGGUGAGCUCACCUAUUGCAACAGGAAGAGGAAUUGCAGGUGCUAGUUGGGCUUCUUGCUUCUGUCUGCAGAUCUGUUACUCUGAGUACUGAUCCACAGAGUGGUAGCUAAGUGGUAGCCCUUAUCCACAUGGCUACUGGCUUCUUUCCUUUGUUAAUUCUGUGCCUAUACACUGUGCUCAGUGCUAAGAAUUGGAGAUAAGGGUUGAAUAAGAGAGAUGCAGUUCUAGCUCUGUGAAGCUUUCAGUCUAUCUAAAGUAGCCAUUAUGCAGAGAAUUAUAUGCAAGUGUGAACUGUGCUGUUAAAGUUUAGAGUGAGAAUGUUUAUUCUGUCCAUGGUUCUUCCAGGGAAACUGUGAGCUUUCAAGGUAGCUAUGACCUUUUAGUGUCCAAAUAUGGCUGAACGGUGGUAAAACUGCUUGAGGAACAUGUUAUAGAUGGAAUCUGAUCAAAUAAAGAACCACUGCCCUAGCCAACUUUUGGAUCCCCAAGUUAUCUAGGAGAACUGUCCAGACCUUUGGUGUCCUUUGUAAUAGCCACUAGCCAUAUUUUGCAAUUUAAAUAUAAGUUAGUUAAAAUUUAGUAUCUUGUUUGCAGAAGCUACAUCUGAACUGCUCAUGGCUACCAUCAUUGCAGGAAGUUUUGUUGUGAAGUGUGGUCUGAGUGUAACUUUUUGUUUACCUUUCUGCCAUUUGGAUUUCUUCUGACAGGGGAAUAGAGGAGGAAAACAGAUCCUCCUUUUUUGCUAUUUAUAACCAUUUGGGUCUAUUUAGAAGUUUUAGAGGGCUGGGGAUGUGGCUCAAGCGGUAGCGCGCUCGCCUGGCAUGCGUGCGGCCUGGGUUUGAUCCUCAGCACCACAUACAAACAAAGAUGUUGUGUCCACCGAUAACUAAAAAAAAAAAAAAAACACUAUCGUGAUUCCCUGAAGAAAAAAAAAAGAAGUUUUAGAGUCUGUGCCUUGGAUAAUGGUCCUGUUAGGUUGCUGGAUGGCAGGAAGCACUCAGUGCUGAAUGGUGAACAGGUUUAGUUCUUGCUUUCAAGGAACAUUCCUUGUUGUCCAGUAGGCUCCAGAAAAUAAGAAAAGAUUAUACUUAGGACCAAAUCUUCAGUGACCAGUGUUGGAGCAAGGAGCCAAAAAUAGACCACAGUUGUUGGGGGUAAAUGUGGCAUCAGGUCAGGGCUGAGAAUGAAUGCACCCAUGACAUGCAAGGCAGCCUAGAAAGACUUAGAGUACUUUUUAAAAUCAUGAAAUAACCCCAAAAGGAAAAGACACUCAAGAGACAGUGUGAGCUAAUGAGUAAGUUGUAGGAAGAAAUGAAGGUCUAGGUCAAACAUGGAGUUUAACAGUUCUCAUAGAUUCCACCCUGCUUUCCAAGUUUCUUUUUCUAACUUUUCCCUCCUCAGGUGCGGUUUGGUCAACAAAAGAGAUACCAAGACUGGUUCCAGCGCCAGUAUUUGUCAACCCCAGACAGUCAGUCUCUACGCUGUGACCUCAUUCGCUACAUCUGUGGGGUAGUCCACCCUUCUAAUGAAGUGCUGAGUUCUGACAUCUUGCCUCGAUGGGCCAUCAUUGGUUGGCUCCUGACAACAUGCACGGUAGGGGGCUGGGCCACAGGGUAGAGGAUGUUGGACAGUGAAGGAUGCCUUCUGUAUUUCCAUGCUUCUUGCUGGACUCUCCAGGGCCAUUUGAUCCAUAAGGACCCUUCUUUCACUGUUGUCUUUCAAAUGUUUCAGGCUCUUAUUCCAUUACCUUUGUGUCUCAAGAAAUUUUGUUAGACUCAUUAUUUCUCAUCUGGGUUGGGGAUUCAAUAGGUCCAUCUAUCUCUUUAUUACUAACCCCCAAAAUCCUGGAUUUCUGAAGCAUUCUUGCCUUUUUCCUUUGAGCUUCUGGAUACCACAAAGUUAGGGCUUGCAUUCUUUAGACCCUCACCUCCGUGCUUCUGGCAUCAGCUUCGGAUAAAGGAGCCAUUUCCUUCCCAGCAUUUUCCUUCCUGUGUUGAGAUGGAAAACCAUCCAUUCUCUGACAUCUUCUGACAGGGUUUCCCCUUUCUUCUCUGAUUAGAUUCUUAGAAUGUACUGAUUCAAAUAUGACAAAAGACUAUUCCUAGAGGGCCUUUUCUUCAGAAAUGUGGGUGGGGGAGCCCACCAAGGGCAGCCCAGGGGCCAUCUGAGUAUUGCCUUGACUCAGAAGUAAUGAGUGAACUCCUAAGUCCAAGUGUUGUCCCUUAGGGGAGGAGAGGUAUAUCCUCCUGGGUGUGUGAGGAUCCCAGCCAGUCCCAUCCCCUUGGUUGGUAAGACCACAGGGUUCUCGUGCUCACAUGUAACACAGACGCAGAUCGUGGGGCUCCACCACGUUUCACUGGGACCUGAAUUUCACAGGUGCAGCAACAAAGUAAGCCCUGGAAUCUGCCCUGGGCUUCAGAAGGGAAGGGAGACGGUUGAUGAAAUUAGCCCUUUAUUUUUGUCCUUCUCUUUUCCAGUCCAAUGUUGCUGCCUCUAAUGCCAAGCUGGCUUUGUUUUACGACUGGCUGUUCUUUAGUCCAGACAAGGAUAGCAUUAUGAACAUAGGUAUGUGCCCCAGACCAGGCAGCACCACCUUCCCCUUCCUCAGGCCCCACUGCCUCGUCCUGGUGACAGCAGUCAUAAAUCUGAGGGCAGCACGGAGUGGGAGCAGUUUAUCUGGGAGCAGUUCCGUUGUUCCUCAUCAGUUCUUCCUUGACAGAAAAUUGCUUUGGUGAGGCUAAGCAAUCACCACCCUCUCCCUUCUCCCCAUAGCCUCAUCCCUGGGCUCUGGGUGGGAAGGGCCUGGGCAGAGGAAAAGAUGUGCCAUGUCCUGCUUUUCCUUUCCUCCUACCUCCAUUCUUCAAGCUGUAUGCUGAAGACAAGAAGGAAGAAUGAGGGCUAAGAACAGUUGGGGGACUGGUUGCUCUCAGAGCUGCCCGAUAGGAAUGAGCACUCCCCAGAGCCUUUUAGUAUAUGUUGACAUCCCAUUUUGUGGAUGUGGAAACAGAAAGUCUGAUGUGGGGGGGGGGGAAUCCUUUAAUUCCACAUUCUCUAGAGCCAGCCAUCCUGGUAAUGCAUCAUUCUAUGAAGCCCCAUCCAGCCAUCACUGCCACACUCCUGGACUUCAUGUGCCGUGUAAGUGCCAGAGCCCCCUCUCCUCCCAGUUCCUGGAUGCAGAGUUACAUCUGUAUCCAUAGUCUUUCACUGAUGGAGUCUUUCCUGGCCCCCUUGUCCGGAGCAGAAGUGGUCAACUCAGUGAAUGCUUCCCUUCAUAUUACCACUGCUCCAGUUGGAUCAUCCCUUGUUUCCAUGAUUUUCUCAAUUGUAGGAUGACAACUCAAGGUAGAAUCUAGUCUCCUUGAGAAGCAGCUGGGUCCAGUAAGUGUCCCAACUGCCUAGCCUGAAAUAGUCAGAUAUGCUCCAUUCCUCUGCAGACAUACUACCCCAGUGUUCCCUGACCACAACCAAAGCAGUUUCUUAGAUCUAGUUCAGCAGAACACUCUAUUCAGAGUCCUGUGCCAUUCUUCCCUCCUCUUCUUUCCUUCCAGAUCAUUCCCAACUUCUAUCCACCUUUGGAAGGCCAUGUGCGGCAGGGUGUCUUUUCUUCCCUCAACCACAUUGUGGAGAAACGGGUCUUGGCGUAAGGAGUUUAUAUGUAGGGAGGUGGAGGUAUGGGGUUCUCCCAUUUUUCCUUAGGUCCAGCCCCCUCUGGGUCAGGCACAUCCAGAUAUUGUCAUAACACUGCUGACCCUUUCCCCUGGCAGGUAUAACAAGUACUGGAUUCCUCUCCCCCACCCCCAAACUACGGGGCAUAUGUCCUGUUGAGUCUCAAAGGAAUUUCUCUCCUGCCAUUAUAUUACAAAGGGCUUCAAAUGCCUUCCUUUCCCGUUACCCCUUGGAAGGAUCUGAGGAUGUCCCAGUCUUACUGAUUGGACCUAGGUCUCACUCUUUAUCUCCAUGUUGAGUUAGAAAUGAGGAACUCUGAUGUUGACCUUCAUUUAUGUUUCCCAUUAGACACUUGGCUCCCCUGUUUGACAACCCUAAAUUGGAUAAAGAGCUGCGGGCCAUGCUGAGAGAGAAAUUUCCUGAAUUCUGCAGCUCACCCUCCCCACCUGUGGAAGGUAUGGUGGUAGUCCUGCUGUCAUCUGUGUUAGAAGAAGGAUGAAGCCAUCCAAGGUGUAGACUAGAGCCCUGUUUGUGAUGUUGUCCCUGGGGAGUUCUCCUCUUAACACUGUCUCAGUGUUCUCUUUUUAUUAUUGCUGUGUUGUCUCCCUUGGUUCUCUCUCGCUCCAUCAAAUCUUACUUGAUUUUUCCCUCAUCUGUCUUGAUCUCUUAACCCUUUUUUUCUCUCCAGUAAGUAGAGGCCCUCAUGGAAUGUUUGUUGUCUCACUGUACCCAUCCCUUCUCUCUUCCCAUCCCUCCACCCUUGCCCCUGAUGAGAGGUUGCACAGUAGGUCCCAGUCUGCCAUUUCCCUGCCAGCCAUCCCCCACAUACUUUUUGUCUUGGGAUCAGGGCUUAAGCCAAGCACUACUUCCGAAUUUGGUUUUAAAUUAAAGAGCACAAGAGAUUGUCUCCACUCAUCCUGAGCUAAGGAUAGAAAAUUCAUGUCCUGUGUUGUUCCUUUUCCUGGCAGCAUCUCCCUACAGGUCAUAGAAGGUUGUAAGGACAAGAGAUUUGUCCUUGCAGGUUCAGUGUUCCAUUUAGCACAUAAACUCUGUAUUCUCCCACUUACACUCCAGCCUCCCCUUCCCAGAAGCUUGGGACAUACUGGAGGCCAUCAGAUACCUUUCUCUCUUUACUCCCAAGUCAAAAUUGAAGAGCCAGUUUCCAUGGAGAUGGAUAACCAUCUGUCAGAUAAGGAUGAGAGUUGCUACGACAAUGCUGAGGCAGCCUUCAGUGAUGACGAGGAGGAUCUCAACAGCAAAGGUGAGGAUGGCAUAGGAGGUGGCUCAGGAUUGUGACAGCCCUGGGAGGGUCAUUUCCCAGGAGCAGCCUGUCUGCAGUCUUUCUGUCCUAUCAUCUCUGCCCGCCUGAGUCCGUCUUGGUAACAGCAUCACUGAAUGAGACUCAGGGUGUAAGCCCUGCAUUUAACUUACGAGGUAAAAUAAGUGGUUCCUGCCCACUUGUGGGUAAGAGCUAGGACAUGUAUACAAUCAUGUAUUUGCACAGCAUUGAGUAAACAGUCCCCAAGGACUGUGGGGAAGGAACAGAUGAUUUAAGGGGACUCUGUGUUGCUGGCAUUUGAGCAAAUUGACUUCUAAAUCUCUCCCUUCAGGAAAGAAGAGAGAGUUUCGUUUCCACCCUAUCAAGGAGACAGUUGUGGAGGAGCCAGUUGAUAUCACCCCUUACCUCGACCAGUUGGAUGAGUCCCUAAGGGACAAAGUACUCCAGCUACAGAAGGGGAGGUAGGUACAGACCCUUCUCCUCACCUUGUGGGGGGAUGUCCAGUCCAUGCUUUCUCCCUUGUGCCUAGUAUGUGUGGCAGAAUGAUGUGGCUUGGAGAGCAAUGUGAUGGGGUAUAUGGGAAGGUAGCUGAAGCUUCAUGAGUGAUGUCUUCCGCAGCUUAUGUUGGGGAGUACGAGUACAGGCAGGGAGUGGAUUGGCCUGUACUCUAACACCUUGGUUCCUACUCCCUAGGUUCUGAGGAUAAUAGCCUCAGAGAACACAUGUAAGAUGGAUGGGGAUUUCCCUAUUCUUUGGGCCUCUGCCCAGAAAACAGCAAAUUCUGCCCUAAUUCUGCCUCCCUCACCCAAGCUGGGAUUUUACAUAGAGCUCCUUUGUUUUGUCUCUGUUCGUUUGAGUGCUCGUGUAUAGUGUUCUCUGUGUCCUGCCUUCUGCUAUCAUUUAUGUCCUUGGGAUUUCCUCUCACUUCUGUACUGCAGUGAUACAGAGGCCCAGUGUGAGGUCAUGCAGGAAAUUGUGGACCAGGUCCUGGAGGUGAGGAGGAACCUACGCCCUUAGGGAGGAAGGAGCCCAGCUGUCCAAGUUAGAGCUCCCCAUGCAGGUGUCUCCCUGGGAAUGUGACUCCCUCCUUCCUCUCCCCUAGAAGAGUCCCUCUCAGGGGGGCUGGAGAAUUGCUGAUCCUGUAGGUGGAAGCAGAUAAGCUCAGAGGCUCUGGGGCAGUGGGGACAGUGGGCACAGUGAGGUUUGGACCUGGGUCAUGAUAUCCUUUCCUUCCCUUAUCUACCACCCAGGAAGACUUCGACUCAGAACAGCUGUCUGUCCUUGCUUCCUGUCUACAAGAGCUCUUCAAGGCCCACUUCCGAGGAGAGGUGCUGCCUGAGGAGGUCACAGAGGAGUAAGGCUCAUCUUCCCUGAUGCCCUUGGCCUCAGGAGCCAGAAAUAUGUUCUUACAACCCAAGCCCAAGAGGCACCAUGCUGUAGACUUGAGAAGAAGAAUCUGUUCACUUGGUUUUCUGAUUCCUGAUGUGUACUGAUUGAAAAUGAGGGUUUAUUUUGCCUGCUGGACCCUGUGUGUACUGGAGUUGUAGACUAGUAUCCCUGCCCUGUCCUUCCAGCCCUGCUGCUGGGCCAGUAGCCCCAACCUUUAUUUCUUCAAGUAGAAUUGGAUCCUAGAUUCCCCCUGAAGAGAGGAAUCUCCCUUUCUGUGAUAAUGAUAGCCUCAGACUGUGAUUUCCAGGUUGGGAACUUGUUUUCUCUGCUAUCAAGCUUCUGGAGCCAC